rnacentral:pre_miRNA from 4 species
UACUCUAUGAAUCUAGUGGAAUCAUUUCUGCACAAACUCGACUACUGAAAUCAGUGUGCGGAAAUGCUUCUGCUACAUUUUUAGGGUCUC